rnacentral:lncRNA from 1 species
UCCGGGCUGCAUUCGAAAUAACUCAUAUUCUUGUGAUAGUGUGUUGAGUUUGGAUCUUUUUACCUCAAUGGUGCCUUCGUGAGUUACUUCCAACGUAUCCCAUAUUUCUUUUGCUGUUUUACAGUGAGAUAUGCGGAAAAACUCAUCCAUUCCUAGUGCAGAUUGUAAUAUAUUCUUAGCCUUUUUAUCGAAAAGCACUUUUCUUUUAUCCUCAUCCGUCCAAGAAUUUUUUAUCUUUAUUUCUUCUUUGUUAUUGAUGACAGUUUUUGGAAUAUG